GCCCUCGUAGUUCAACUGGAUAGAACGCUGGCCUCCGAAGCCGGUAAUGGCAGUUCGAAUCCGCCCGAGGGCACCA
rnacentral:tRNA from 1 species